rnacentral:ribozyme from 1 species
UUGACCAAUACGCCACCGCUAAAACUAGUACUACUACCAGUAACUCAGGUCUUGACUCGAGUAUGAACAGCGGUGGUAUGAAUUGGGGGGUUUUGGCUGUGUACAGUUGUUCGAUUAGUUGUACCAAAUAUCGUGAUGAAUAUGUUGUGGUUCAG